rnacentral:ncRNA from 1 species
UUUUUUUUACAGAACUAUGGAUAACAAUUGCUAUAAGAAGUCAGCAGAAGUCAUAGUAUGCACAGAUACAAGCUUGGCAAUACCAAGAAGUCUUACAAAAUGCAGAAGGAC